rnacentral:rRNA from 1 species
AGAGUUCGAUCCUGGUUCAGGACGAACGCUGGCGGCGCGCCUAACACAUGCAAGUCGAACGAGAGAGAGGGAGCUUGCUUCCUCAAUCGAGUGGCGAACGGGUGAGUAACGCGUGAGGAACCUGCCUCAAAGAGGGGGACAACAGUUGGAAACGACUGCUAAUACCGCAUAAGCCCACAGGUCAGCAUCGACCAGAGGGAAAAGGAGCAAUCCGCUUUGAGAUGGCCUCGCGUCCGAUUAGCUGGUUGGUGAGGUAAUGGCCCACCAAGGCGACGAUCGGUAGCCGGACUGAGAGGUUGAACGGCCACAUUGGGACUGAGACACGGCCCAGACUCCUACGGGAGGCAGCAGUGGGGAAUAUUGCACAAUGGGGGAAACCCUGGUGCAGCGACGCCGCGUGGAGGAAGAAGGUCUUCGGAUUGUAAACUCCUGUUGUUGAGGAAGAUAAUGACGGUACUCAACAAGGAAGUGACGGCUAACUACGUGCCAGCAGCCGCGGUAAAACGUAGGUCACAAGCGUUGUCCGGAAUUACUGGGUGUAAAGGGAGCGCAGGCGGGAAGACAAGUUGGAAGUGAAAUCUAUGGGCUCAACCCAUAAACUGCUUUCAAAACUGUUUUUCUUGAGUAGUGCAGAGGUAGGCGGAAUUCCCGCGUGUAGCGGUGGAAUGCGUAGAUAUCGGGAGGAACACCAGUGGCGAAGGCGGGCUACUGGGCACCAACUGACGCUGAGGCUCGAAAGUGUGGGUAGCANACAGGAUUAGAUACCCUGGUAGUCCACACCGUAAACGAUGAUUACUAGGUGUUGGAGGAUUGACCCCUUCAGUGCCGCAGUUAACACAAUAAGUAAUCCACCUGGGGAGUACGACCGCAAGGUUGAAACUCAAAGGAAUUGACGGGGGCCCGCACAAGCAGUGGAGUAUGUGGUUUAAUUCGACGCAACGCGAAGAACCUUACCAAGUCUUGACAUCCUGCGACGCACAUAGAAAUAUGUCUUUCCUUCGGGACGCAGAGACAGGUGGUGCAUGGUUGUCGUCAGCUCGUGUCGUGAGAUGUUGGGUUAAGUCCCGCAACGAGCGCAACCCUUACUGUCAGUUACUACGCAAGAGGACUCUGGCAGGACUGCCGUUGACAAAACGGAGGAAGGUGGGGAUGACGUCAAAUCAUCAUGCCCUUUAUGACUUGGGCUACACACGUACUACAAUGGCGUUAAACAAAGAGAAGCAAGACCGCGAGGUGGAGCAAAACUCAGAAACAACGUCCCAGUUCGGACUGCAGGCUGCAACUCGCCUGCACGAAGUCGGAAUUGCUAGUAAUCGUGGAUCAGCAUGCCACGGUGAAUACGUUCCCGGGCCUUGUACACACCGCCCGUC